UUGCCAGCCCGCUCAGAAACUUAAAGGAAUUGACGGGGCCCGCACAAGCGGAGGAGCAUGUGGUUUAAUUCGAUGAUACGCGAGGAACCUUACCUGGGCUCGAACGUAAGAUGACUGUAGGUGAAAGCUUACAUCUCUUCGGAGCAUUUUACGAGGUGCUGCAUGGUUGUCGUCAGCUCGUGCCGUGAGGUGUCGGGUUAAGUCCCAUAACGAGCGCAACCCUACCUUUAGUUGCCAUCAGGUAAUGCUGGGGACUCUAAAGGAACUGCCUACGCAAGUAGUGAGGAAGGCGGGGAUGACGUCAAAUCAGCACGGCCCUUACGUCCAGGGCUACACACGUGCUACAAUGGCCGAUACAGAGGGCAGCUACCUGGUGACAGGAUGCAAAUCUCCAAAGUCGGUCUCAGUUCGGAUCGGAGUCUGCAACCCGACUCCGUGAAGUUGGAUUCGCUAGUAAUCGCGCAUCAGCCAUGGCGCGGUGAAUACGUUCCCGGGCCUU
rnacentral:rRNA from 1 species